AGUGAACGCUGGCGGUAGGCCUAACACAUGCAAGUCGAACGGCAGCACAGUAAGAGCUUGCUCUUACGGGUGGCGAGUGGCGGACGGGUGAGGAAUACAUCGGAAUCUACUUUUUCGUGGGGGAUAACGUAGGGAAACUUACGCUAAUACCGCAUACGACCUACGGGUGAAAGCAGGGGAUCUUCGGACCUUGCGCGAUUGAAUGAGCCGAUGUCGGAUUAGCUAGUUGGCGGGGUAAAGGCCCACCAAGGCGACGAUCCGUAGCUGGUCUGAGAGGAUGAUCAGCCACACUGGAACUGAGACACGGUCCAGACUCCUACGGGAGGCAGCAGUGGGGAAUAUUGGACAAUGGGCGCAAGCCUGAUCCAGCCAUACCGCGUGGGUUGAGAAGGCCUUCGGGUUGUAAAGCCCUUUUGUUGGGAAAGAAAAGCAGCAGGUUAAUACCCCGCUGUUCUGACGGUACCCAAAGAAUAAGCACCGGCUAACUUCGUG
rnacentral:rRNA from 1 species